rnacentral:rRNA from 1 species
UGAGGCGCGCCGAGUUUGAUCCUGGCUCAGGACGAACGCUGGCGGCGUGCUUAACACAUGCAAGUCGAACGCGAACCACGGCUUCGGCUGUGGGGAGAGUGGCGAACGGGUGAGUAACGCGUAGUCAACCUGCCCUUUGGUGGGGGAUAGCCCCGGGAAACCGGGAUUAAUACCGCAUGCAGUCCAAGGAUCGCCUGGUCUUUGGAUGAAAGCCUUCGGGCGCCGGAGGAUGGGACUGCGUGGCAUUAGGUAGUUGG